ensembl:ncRNA asRNA:CR46067 antisense RNA:CR46067
GGGCAUGGGUUGCUGGCUCCGGCUCCGCAGGCUCGGCUGCCUGACAUGUUGGUACUGGGAACUGCAGCCGAUGUCGUAGCGCAGAUCCUGUUUCUGCAGCGUGCCGCUAGAGAUGGAACCGUUGUGCUGGUGGCCAUUGCGCAUCGAGUGAUGGUGCGCAUGCGAAUGGGGAUGCUGCAGCUGCUCAUCGGCGUCCACAUCAGCGCUGGUGAUGGUUCGCGAUUUGACGGCGCCCAUUAUGGUGGCAAAGCGACCAGAGCCCGAAACCGAGCCGGAGACGGAGCCGCCUCCUCCUCCUCCUCCGCCGCCUCCUCCCCCUGGAUCCUGUAAUCCCCGGGAUCCGGAUCCUCCGCCGCCGAUGGCGUCCUCGAUGGUCGCCGCUUGGAGCGCAGUGCUAAGGGACAGCGAGAGGGUACCCCAUACAGUCCGGCAAAGGGCACGCGUGCGUUCCGGGCAACUUGAAACAAAAACACAAUUUGUUGCUACUGUUGUUGCUGUUGUUGUUGCUGGUGGUGCAACGGCGGCACUCACACAGGCACACAGCCACUAGCACUCACACACACACACACCUACAGCAAGACACGGAUGCAGGCACACAAACACAGACAAAGGACCAGAUUUCGAUGAAAGGCUCCUGCGGCAGGCGACGCCUCUUGUGCUUUGUUUGCAGGUUUUUCCGAGCGAGGGACGUGCGAAUUGCUUGCAAUUUGCCUUACACACCGCAUUAGACUCGGUCUGUGGGCGAUAAGUGUGGGAACCGAGAGCAACUGCAGUUAAAUGCACUUUAUUUUGCCGACCGACCGCACGACAACCGCGCUACACGAAUAUUCGGGACAGUGUGACCGAACUGGGUCUGCGCACGGAAACCAAAGACUGGCGGGAAAACACCCUAAAUGUGCCGAAAACUGCGCUUAGCAAAGUUUUAAGCCAGUUGAUUUAAUUAAUAUGCAUUUUUGUGGU